rnacentral:rRNA from 1 species
GACGAACGCUGGCGGCGUGCUUAACACAUGCAAGUCGAACGAUGAAGCAAAGAAUUGAAGCUUCGGCAGAAAUUCAUUUCGGAUUAGUGGCAGACGGGUGAGUAACGCGUGAGCAACCUACCUCUUACAAAGGGAUAGCCUCGGGAAACCGGGAUUAAUACCAUAUAACAUUGCGACGAAGCAUUUCGAUGCAAUCAAAGCUACGGCGGUAAGAGAUGGGCUCGCGUCCCAUUAACCAGAUGGUGAGGUAACGGCUCACCAUAGUAACGAUGGGUAACCGGCCUGAGAGGGUGAACGGUCACACUGGAACUAAGACACGGUCCAGACUCCUACGGGAGGCAGCAGUGGGGAAUAUUGCACAAUGGAGGGAACUCUGAUGCAGCGACGCCGCGUGAGUGAUGAAGGAAUUCGUUUCGUAAAACUCUGUUCUAUGGGAAGAAAAGGACUGUACCAUAGGAGAAAGCUCCGGCUAAAUACGUG